AAAAAAAGAAUGAAUUACAAUUGAAAGUAAUUUAAAGUUGUAAUAUAUUUUUGGCAUUUCAUUUCACGCUUCAAUUCUGAAUUUAUAAAAAAUAAAAUUUUAUUUACGUUUUGGUAGUAUUUUAUUAACAUGACAUGACAGGCUUUUAUAAGAGUCACCCUGAUUAUAAAACAGCCCAGAAAAGUCCGUAAUAAACAUUUGUUUGAUUGCUGUUAUUAUUUCUCACCUCCAAUGGCCCCUGAUCGGAAAAGUGAGAGUACCCCGAUACUACACAUUAAUAAAAGUAUCACGUGUACCUUUUGUAAAUGGUGCUUCACUCAAGCCCAAGUAACCCUGAAACAUUCUGUCUGGGUUUUUUUUGCGCGGCAAACGCCACAAAAUUGAAAUCUCUGUUGCCGAAAGUGCUUACCUCCCAUCCCAGGUUUGCCGGUUAUCUUGCCGGCAUUACGUCUCUCAUAAUUAACGUCCUGUACAUAACAAUGCGACACAGCGUAGCGCUGACUAGGCCACUUGUCUCAUCUCUUGUUAGUCAAGGUCGUAACACAGCGGCGUGACCUAAAUCUAGCGGUGGUGGCUACAUCCUGGUAAGCCAUCUUUUUCAAGACAUUGCGUUACAAUGAUCAGUAUUUUUUGUUUGUUUAACUGUUUGUCAUCCUCGCGUGUUGCUCCGUGUCCUCACUUUUGAGCCCAACGACAGAAAUGUACAGACGUCCGCCCGUGUAAUAUACUGUAAUGCUCAUUCCUGUCAAAUGACCAUAAACUUCAAAUUCAACUUUGUUGUUUUUGUGCAGUUUUCUUCUUCAAUGUUAAAUCACUUUUUCUUGAAAUGAGAGGUGCCUUAGGGUAGUAAGGGAGGCAAUCCAGCUGCCCCAGCUAUUGCAUGGUGCUGGUGGCCAGGCAGCAGGCAGCAGCCAAGGCCCAGCUGCAGGCCCUGGAGCAACACUGUUGGACUGUGAUGUCACUUCCUGCUGAGCCACUUCAUUAGUCAAAUUCUACAGCAAUUGAAUGGCCAUUGUGCUUGCCUUCUACGUUGAGCAUCUAGAAGCAAGACGUCUGUACUGUUCAGGUGUCUCAGCUCCUCGCAGACGAUAAAGAAUGUGUCAAUGUGAGUACCCGUUAUAAUGACCGAAUGUGUUGGUACAUUUGUGUUCAAAUAUCAGUUGCUUAAAAGCUUUUAUAUUAGUUUCUCACAAUGUUUUAGCAUUCGCAUUUAGCUAGCCAGCUAAAAUUAGAAAGCUUUGGAAUUUGAUCAAAAUGACAAACUAAAAUGUCUGCUGUUUUGGUUAGCAACAAGGUUCCAAAUGUGAUUGGCGAUCAAACCUUUUCAUGCCCAUGUGUUGCAGCAGAAGCAUGCAUCUGUUGAUCAGAUUGACACACACAAAAAGUUUGUAAUUGUGGUCAUAGCUCAUUAUUGCCCCCCUCCCCUUUUCCCCCACUUGGAUGAUUGGAUUCAGCCAGGGAGGGAAGGAAAGUUGUGUUGGGUUGGGGGGGAGGGACGCUUCAGCCCCUGUGACAUGACCACGUCCGCCCGGCGACAACCUCUCUCAACACACUCGAUUGGUAGGAUGAAUUAUGGCUGUUGAGAAUUAAAAGGUCCCCGGUGUCAAAAUAAUUCACGAUAUUAUGCAUAUCUGGCCGGAUAUGUGGAUUAGGAAGAUAAUAAAAGCUGCGGCAGAGUAUCGCCUGCGAGGAGGAGGAGGGUGGGUGGGUUCAAGGUCCAAAAAGUGCAUGCAUGUAUUGGCCCGUCACUCAGCUUAUGUGUGUGCUGGAUCAAGCCACACGCAAGCUGAGAUUUGAACAUAAUUGUCCCAAAACUGCUCAUCAGUGGAUCUGCCCACCGCCAUUAGGGCUCAGCAAUAUGGUGUGACAUCCGCAUUCGCCUCUGUGACAGGUUAUUAGCGCGCUGUAAUUAAGCUGACUUUCCUGGCGUACGGGAAAAGAGAAUUGUCUGGGGGGAAAAAACCCGAAAAAUUUAAAUAAUACAUACAUGAACCACGUGGAUUUUUUUUCCUGCCAGGAAGUUUGAGUUUAUAACACAGUACAUGGUGAGUUCAUAAUUAUAUGAAUGCGUCCUCUGUAUCGGUAAUACAAUAUUCCGCAUUGUCCAAAUGUUGUUGUGAAAAUCCGAGUGAAAGCGGGAAAAAAAAAUUGAAUAAGGUGUGACUUAAAAAAUUCUGCUGGCUGUUACACAACUUAAGACAAGUGGACGUUGUUGUGAGCAACGAAGCCCAUCUGCUAUGCCCCCACUUUCGUCCACAUGGUGUGUGAAUAUGAUAAUACCUGAAAAGUGUCCUGCAAAAAGUCCCCACUGCUUACAUAAGCCCGUACGAAAUGGCUUCAAAGUCAUUUUCUCCUAUUUAGGAGGGCUCCACAAACAUGUCAAAACAUAUUUUAAUUGACAGGAACCAAAGCCCACCUUCACACAGCAAAGCGUUCACGUUAAAUAGCGGAGCCGUGGGGUCCGUGUCGCGUUGUCUUUGUGGCAUGCUCGCUGAACAGAAGGUCCGCACUCCCCCCCCCCCUCUUCGUAACGGCGGCAGAUGGCCGCAGA